rnacentral:rRNA from 1 species
AGUGAACGCUGGCGGUAGGCCUAACACAUGCAAGUCGAACGGCAGCACAGGAGAGCUUGCUCUCUGGGUGGCGAGUGGCGGACGGGUGGGGAAUACAUCGGAAUCUACUCUGUCGUGGGGGAUAACGUAGGGAAACUUACGCUAAUACCGCAUACGACCUACGGGUGAAAGCAGGGGACCUUCGGGCCUUGCGCGAUUGAAUGAGCCGAUGUCGGAUUAGCUAGUUGGCGGGGUAAAGGCCCACCAAGGCGACGAUCCGUAGCUGGUCUGAGAGGAUGAUCAGCACACUGGAACUGAGACACGGUCCAGACUCCUACGGGAGGCAGCAGUGGGGAAUAUUGGACAAUGGGCGCAAGCCUGAUCCAGCCAUACCGCGUGGGUGAAGAAGGCCUUCGGGUUGUAAAGCCCUUUUGUUGGGAAAGAAAUCCAGCUGGCUAAUACCCGGUUGGGAUGACGGUACCCAAAGAAUAAGCACCGGCUAACUUCGCGCCAGCAGCCGCGGUAA